UAUUCCGCCCAUGCGGGAAGGAUGAGAAGCUUCGACCAAGGUUCGAUUCGAGCGUAGCGAGAAAGCGUUGCCGCAGGCAACGACCCGAAGGGCGAAGCGCGCAGCGCAGAGUCAUCCUUCCCCCACCACCA
rnacentral:sRNA from 1 species